rnacentral:misc_RNA from 1 species
AAUGCGAUAAGUAAUGUGAAUUGCAGAAUUCAGUGAAUCAUCGAAUCUUUGAACGCACAUUGCGCCCGCCAGUAUUCUGGCGGGCAUGCCUGUCCGAGCGUCAUUUCAACCAUCAAGCCCCCGGGCUUGUGUUGGGGACCUGCGGCUGCCCGCAGGCCCUGAAAACCAGUGGCGGGCUCGCUGUCACACCGAGCGUAGUAGCAAUCACCUCGCUCAGGGCGUGCUGCGGGUUCCGGCAGUUAAACAGCCUUACAAAACCCAAGGUUGACCUCGGAUCAGGUAGGAAGACCCGCUGAACUUAAGC